CAUACCCGCGUUCCGUGCCCGUUAUUGCACUGGGCACCGGGGUUCCGCCAGGAUGCCCAGACACGUAACUGACCUUGUCAGGUACCAGAAUGAUGAGUGGAAGCAGCAGGAUCGGGGUGAAGAACAAAAUCACGAAGGACUUGAACUUGUCCACAUAAAUCUUCGCCGAAUCCAUCGUGUGAAAGGGAGACAGACUGGAGAGAGAAAAGAUUGCGAGGCAGCUAGAAGCUUCACGAGCUUAAAAGGGGGCCGCGCGGUCCCACCGGAUUGGGGGCGGCUACAACUCCGCCCCCCUCGGCGGGGCCUCCCUGCGGUCCUGGGGCGGAGCCACCCCUCGGGGUCUGUGGGGCGCGUCUGUCCCAGGACUCUGCCACCCCGCGGCAGAGGGAGGCGUCUGCAGAUACCAGUUUUUGGCACCAGUCUUCUAUGGAGAGGACUGGACCCUGGCACCUCACCACUCGCCAAGCCCGUUUGGCGCUGCUCUGGUCGUCAGUACCAUGCAGGGUGUGCCGGUCAUUCUGCCAGCUUUUAAGCACCUGCCACCACCACCAGGAAAGAACUACUGAAUUUCCCACCUUCUCAGCCUAUGGAUGUCAGAGGCCCUAAAACAGAACACACGUUUGUAUCAAGAUCUUGACUCUGUUCCUGUGACCUGUCUGUCACCUUGCCCUCAAGUCUGCAACUGCCAUCUUUAGGCUCAUUCUAUUUUUGGUUUGUUUGUGUCUAUGUGGCCCUGGGCCCACCCCUUCCUCCAGAGCAAUUAAAACUAGAGUUCUUGCUUUGGUUUGUUUGUUUCAAGA